rnacentral:rRNA from 1 species
AGCGCAGGCGGUUUCUUAAGUCUGAUGUGAAAGCCUUCGGUUCAACCGAAGAAGUGCAUCGGAAACUGGGAAACUUGAGUGCAGAAGAGGACAGUGGAACUCCAUGUGUAGCGGUGAAAUGCGUAGAUAUACGGAAGAACACCAGUGGCGAAGGCGGCUGUCUGGUCUGUAACUGACGCUGAGGCUCGAAAGCAUGGGUAGCAAACA